rnacentral:rRNA from 1 species
CAACUAUACGGCGAAACUGCGAACGGCUCAUUAUAUAAGUUAUCGUUUAUUUGAUAGCACCUUACUACUUGGGUAACCGUGGUAAUUCUAGAGCUAAUACAUGCUAAAAAUCCCGACUCCGGAAGGGAUGUGUUUAUUAGAUUCAAAACCAAUGCCCCCUGGGCUCACUGGUGAUUCAUGAUAACCGCUCGAAUCGCACGGCCUUGCGCCGGCGAUGGUUCAUUCAAAUUUCUUCCCUAUCAACUUUCGAUGUUUGGGUAGUGGCCAAACAUGGUUGCAACGGGUAACGGAGGGUUAGGGCUCGACCCCGGAGAAGGAGCCUGAGAAACGGCUACUACAUCCAAGGAAGGCAGCAGGCGCGCAAAUUACCCAAUCCCGACACGGGGAGGUAGUGACAAUAAAUACCGAUAUAGGGCUCUUUUGGGUCUUAUAAUUGGAAUGAGUACAAUUUAAAUCCCUUAACGAGGAACAAUUGGAGGGCAAGUCUGGUGCCAGCAGCCGCGGUAAUUCCAGCUCCAAUAGCGUAUAUUAAAGUUGUUGUGGUUAAAAAGCUCGUAGUUGAACCUUGGGCCUGGCUGGCCGGUCCGCCUCACCGCGUGCACUGGUCCGGCCGGGCCUUUCCCUCCGCGGAACCCCAUGCCCUUCGCUGGGCGUGGCGGGGAAACGGGACUGUUACUUUGAAAAAAUUAGAGUGCUCCAGGCAGGCCUAUGCUCGAAUACAUUAGCAUGGAAUAAUGAAAUAGGACGCGCGGUUCUAUUUUGUUGGUUUCUAGGACCGCCGUAAUGAUUGAUAGGGACAGUCGGGGGCGUCAGUAUUCAACCGUCAGAGGUGAAAUUCUUGGACCGGUUGAAGACUAACUACUGCGAAAGCAUUCGCCAAGGAUGUUUUCAUUAAUCAGGAACGAAAGCUAGGGGAUCGAAGACGAUCAGAUACCGUCGUAGUCUUAGCCAUAAACUAUGCCGACUAGGGAUCGGGCGAUGUUAUUCUUUGACUCGCUCGGCACCUUCCGAGAAAUCAAAGUGCUUGGGCUCCA